rnacentral:lncRNA from 1 species
UUGCUUAUCUUACUUUUCCAAUUGUGCUAAGUCAUGCGCGCGAUACAAAGUUCGUGGUAGAGAACUUCUUUGAGUCAUCCUAUUUUUCUGUUCAUAUGAGGGAAAUUCAUAUGUGAUUUUCCAAAUAAGGGAAUCCAAAUGAAACCCUUUUUUUGCUCAGUCUAUCUGGACUACUUUUGUAUAAUAGGAAUUAAUUCGAAAUAGGUAUUCCGUUUCAUCUAGGAACAGAACGUAAAAAUUUUCCUUUACUUGAAUAAAAUCUGGAGUUGUGUUGUAUAAGUCCGCAUGAAUUUCUUAUCAUUCAAUGAGCAUCUUGUAUUUCAUAGAAAUUGGGGGUUAUAUAGUCCUUACGUAAGGGCCAGCCUACCCAACUUUCAGGCAUUAGGAUACGUUUAAGGCGCGGAUGAUUAUCAUAAGAGAUUCCCACCAUAUCAUAAGAUUCGCGUUCUUGAAAAUCGGCACUUCUCCAAAUCCAGAAGACAGACGGAAUUCUAGGAUUAUCCUUUUGGGCAAAGACUUUUAUGCAUACUUCUUCCGGGUUAUCUAUGCCAUACUGUAUUCACGUAAGAUGAUACACGCUAGCUAAAGAUCCACCGGGUGCUACAUCAUAAGCACAUUGGGAGAGUAAAUAAUUGUAACCAUAUACGUAUAAAAUGACAGCAAUGGAAUCCCAAUCCCCCGCUUUUAUUUGUAAAGUCUCUAUUCCUCGGUGAUCAAAGCCCAAAGAUCUAUGAACCACCUUAUGUUUGACUAGCCAAUUAGAUAACCAACCCUGCUGCAUUGUCUUGAUCUCUCCCUCUUUGUUUUGUAUAAAUAUUUCACAUUUCGGAUGCAAGUUUCAAAGAUUGCCUUGCUUUUUAUUUUUCUAGACGAAAGAACCCCCCUCCUAAUUCACUAAUUUGUAGGAAGGUACUAUACUUUUGGAUUUGUAAAUUUUUUCAGAAGAUAUAUCUAAAGUAGAUGGUGAUUGAUAGAGCAAUUCUUGCUCGUAAGUUCCAGUAUGAGUACUGCGCCGAACAUAAAGCUUGUGACUGGUAGUAAAACAUCGGUUUUUAUUUUGAGAUCGAAUUCGAUCCUCAACUAUUUCUCGCGAUAUCUUCUUACGAAGUUUUGUUAGGGCAUCUAUAACCGCCUCCGGUUUAGGUGGGCAACCCGGCAAGUAGACAUCCACAAGAAUUAACUUAUCAACUCCUCGAAUAGUACUAUAGGAAUCCGUACUGAACAUUCCCCCUGUAAUAGUACAAGCUCCCAUAGCAAUGACGUAUUUUGGUUCAGGCAUUUGCUCGUAUAACCUCACUAAAGAAGGAGCCAUUUUCAUUGUUACUGUACCAGCUGUUAAAAUUAGGUCCGCUUGCCUAGGACUUGAUCUUGGUACCAAUCCAUAACGAUCAAAGUCGAAUCGCGAGCCUAUUAAUGAAGCAAAUUCAAUGAAACAACAACUGGUACCGUAUAGAAGGGGCCAUAAACUGGAGAGUCUUGACCAAUUUGAAAGAUCGUUUGGUGUAGUUGAAAUAACAGAAUUGGAACUUGUUUGGUCAAGUAAAGGAAACUCAAUCAAACUCAUAACUGUCUCAAUGGAAUCUUUUUCUUCUUUUUUUUUUUCUAAAUAUUCAGUUAAGACAUUCCAAGGCUCCUUUUCGCCAUGCAUAAACUAAACCAACAACUAGGAUAAGCACGAAAAUGAAAGCUUCGAUAAAAACGGAUACACCCAAUACGUCGAAACUCAUUGCCCAAGGGUAGAGAAAGACGGUUUCCACAUCAAAAACAACAAAAACUAGCGCAAACAUGUAAUAGCGUAUUCGGAAUUGUAGCCAAGCCCCUCCCAUGGGUUCUAUACCCGAUUCAUAACUAGAAAGCUUUUCGGGUCCUUCACUAAUCGGGGCUAAAAGCCCUGAAAUCCAAAAUGCCAAAAUCGGAAUAAGGGUUGCUAUUAUUAGAAAUGUCCAAAAAAUAUCAUAUUCGUGAAGCAGAAACAUAAUGUACUCCCAUUAAUGUAGAAUAGACGAGACUUAAAUUAAUCAAUUCAAUUAUGCAUUGUCAAUUCAUCCAGAACUUAUCUCUUUUCCUCGGUGAAACAAGAAUCUGUUUUGUUCAAACAAAAUCGCUUAGUUUAGCCUUUGUUUUCUCUGUGCUGUGUCUUCUUUAAAGAUUCAUCCAAUGGAAUCCCAACUCCCCUUCUUUUUUCUCCAUUCUAUUUAGAUAUGGUCUAGAUCUAAUUCUUAUAUAAAAAAUACUUUAUCCCUUCACUUUAUUUUGCUUUCUCUAUAAUCUUUAGAACCUAAUUAACAUAAGAGGACUAGUCUAUGCAGUAGACUGAGAAGUAAUACUAUAAAAAAAUAAGGAACUCUAUUUCAGAACUAUGAGACAUAAUAUUCUGUUUUCUUAUUUACUCUUUACUUUAAUUCUUUCUAAAAAAAUUCUAUUUAGGAUUUUAAGUAGAUCGAUUUAGAUAAUGUAUAUAUAAGCAAAGUAAUAUACCUAAAACAAAGUAUAAAUUCGCAAGAUGGAGAAAAUCAUUGCAGUUUUAUAGGGAAGUCUAGAGAUACCCUAUUUGAAGAAGGGCGGGAUUCAAAUCAGGGAAGGGCUCUUUUCUUCUAUUGAUUUGAUAGAAAUCACUUUUUCGUUUCCUAUCUCUAUGAUUUUUGAUGAAUGAGCCUGUGGUAAUUCUUUUACGCCUAUUCUAUGUCGCAGGCGCCCGCCCAGUCUAUAAACAAGUACUAAUGUGAAAAUAAAAGCUAUACUAAGGAAAACAUAGGAUAUCUAUACUAAAAUCCAAAAAUAGGACAUAUUAGGGCUAUACGGAUUCGAACCGUAGACCUUCUCGGUAAAACAGAUCAAACAGAUUAUUAUCGAAAUGAUUCGAACUGUUUCAAAGACCCAAGAUGCAUUUUUUUUGCAUUGGGCUCUUUCAUCAACUGAUUUAAAGAUCAGUUAGUCCACCAUAGUUUUCUUUACGGAAAGAUAAUGAGAUGGCUCCCUGUGCUCUGAUUGAUUAUUUGUAUUAUGGUCUAUCUAGGAGCAAUACCAAAGUGUUUCAAAGGAGGAUUACCUUGACUUAGGUCUGCCUCCGGCCUAAAUUAAAUCAACCUAAGUGAAAUGGAGUCUCUAUCGUUCCACUGCAAGAGUUAACUAUGAGACUUCAUACACCUUAAAGUUCAUAGAACGAAAAGAAGUUUUUUGGAGGCCCUUAUCCUCAUUACGCCUAGCAUUUAGUGGGCUGGAUAUUUACCUUAUCAACUAGCAAAUCCAUAAGGGUUCUAUUUGAUUAGGCACCAGAAUGGGGACCUGAAUCGGACUGAACUGACUCUUUGUCAGGCUACUGUUCUCCUAUUCUGUCGAAUCUAUGAAGUAAGACAUUGAUUUUGCAAUAAGAUCCAUUAUAUUCAUUGCAUAAUAAGCUCCUUUGAAAAGCAUUGGCGCACGUGUAAACGAGUUGCUCUACCGAACUGAGCUAUAGCCCUUAUCAGAGAUAUCUUAACAUAUAGAUAAUUUAUUGUCAAGAUGAAUAUUCUCUAAUGCCAGAGGGUAUCUCUUUAAAUAUGUAUCUGUUUAGUAUAUAACAUACCAAUAAGGAAGCGUUAUUGCUUAGAAAAGGGAUUCGAUAUAUAAUCGAUCGAAGUAAUGGGUCUUCCUUUGUGAUCAUAAAUUGACUACUUAACUCAGUGGUUAGAGUAUUGCUUUCAUACGGCGGGAGUCAUUGGUUCAAAUCCAAUAGUAGGUAGGUAGGUAGAAAAAUUACUAGAUAGCAUUGGGCUUAUUUUGCUUCGCUAUCUAAUAACUUUUUCUACCCCUCUUCCCUUUAUCUUUGUAUCAACUAUAAACCAUUGGAUUGUCUUCAAUUGGACGGGGGAAUCCAAUUGACAGCCUUGAUUCGUAUCCUAGCUCGUCUGAGAGCUAGUUUCGCUUCAACCAAUUCUUUCGUACCCUCAGCUUUACUCAAGUUAUUUUCGGCUAUUUUAAGUGCCUGUUGAGCUUCUUCCGAAUCAAUAUCACUACCCAGUUCCGCAUCAUUUCCUAAAAUAAUGAUCUCAUUAUUAACUAUUCUCGCAAAACCACUCCACAGAACCGCCGUUAACCAUUGGUCGUUGAGGAGGCGUAUUCUCAAAGGACCCAUAUCUACUGCUGUGUUAAUGGGGGCAUGGUUUGGUAAUACCCCAAUUUGACCACUAUUAGUGGAUAAAAUGAUUUCUUUCACUUCACAAUCCCAAAUAAUUCGCUUAGGAGUCAGUACAUAAAGAUUUAAUUUCAUUUCUUCGAUUUGUUCUCCUCUUCUAAGGUUAUAGCUUUCGUGCUAGCUUCAUCGAUGUUACCCACCAAAUAAAAAGCCUGCUCGGGUAGGCCAUCUAAUUCUCCGGAAAGGAUUAGUUGAAAUCCCCUAAUUGUUUCUGCAAGACCAACAUACCUUCCUGCAGAACCAGUAAAAACUUCUGCUACAAAGAACGGUUGUGAUAAGAAACACUCAAUUUUUCGCGCUCUUGCUACAGUUAAACGAUCCUCCUCCGAUAAUUCAUCCAAUCCAAGAAUUGCGAUGAUGUCCUGAAGUUCCUUGUAACGUUGUAAAGUUUCCUUAACUCUUUGCGCAGUUUCAUAAUGUUCGUUGCCAACGAUCCGAGGCUGUAACAUAGUUGAGGUUGAAUCUAAAGGAUCUACUGCUGGAUAAAUACCCUUGGAAGCUAAUCCUCUGGAAAGUACGGUAGUAGCAUCCAAAUGGGCAAAUGUUGUGGCAGGAGCAGGGUCAGUCAAAUCGUCCGCAGGUACAUAAACCGCUUGGAUCGAAGUUAUAGAUCGCUUUUUAGUAGAAGCAAUUCUUUCUUGCAAAGAACCCAUUUCUGUACUAAGAGUAGGUUGAUAACCCACCGCGGAGGGCAUUCUCCCUAAUAAAGCGGAUACCUCCGAUCCUGCUUGAACAAAACGAAAGAUAUUAUCGAUGAAUAAAAGCACGUCUUGCUUAUUAACAUCUCGGAAAUAUUCCGCCAUAGUUAGGGCAGUUAAACCAACUCUCAUACGAGCUCCCGGUGGUUCAUUCAUUUGGCCAUAGACUAGAGCUACCUUUGAUUCCUCAAUAUUUUCAUUAAUUACUCCGGAUUCCCUCAUUUCCAUAUAAAGAUCAUUUCCUUCACGAGUCCGUUCCCCUACUCCACCAAAUACGGAUACACCCCCAUGAGCUUUAGCAAUGUUGUUGAUUAAUUCCAUGAUGAGUACUGUUUUACCUACUCCAGCCCCCCCAAAUAGUCCUAUUUUUCCUCCACGUCGAUAAGGAGCUAAAAGAUCAACGACCUUAAUACCUGUUUCAAAGAUGGAUAAUUUCGUAUCUAACUCGAUAAAGGCAGGCGCAGAUCUAUGAAUAGGGAACGUUGCACUACUGUCUACAGGACCCAAAUUGUCAACAGGCUCUCCAAGAACGUUGAAAAUUCGCCCGAGAGUAGCUCCGCUGACCGGAACACUGAGAGGAGCUCCUGUGUCAAUCACUUCCAUUCCUCUCAUCAACCCAUCUAUAGCACUCAUAGCUACAGCUCUAACUCGAUUAUUUCCUAAUAAUUGUUGUACCUCACAAGUCACAUUAAUUUGCUUAUCGGCAGUGUCUCUACUCUGGACUACCAAAGCAUUAUAAAUAUAAGGUAACUUACCGGGGGGAAAAGUGACGUCCAGCACGGGUCCAAUAAUUUGAUCGAUAUGGCCUGUACUUUUUUCUUCAAUUGGGGAAACCCCGGGACGAGAAGUAGUAGGAUUGGUUCUCAUAAUUAUCACAUAAUAAAAAAAAGGAAUUUGUCGAAAUUUUUCUUUUUUUCUUGUUGAAUAAUACCAAAUCCAAAAAAAUAUCCAAAAAUCCAAAAGUAAAAAGGAAAUCAAUUAGUUAAUUCAAUAAGAGAAAAAAGGGGAACAUGACUUGAUUUCGUUGCCCAAGCGAAUCCCUUUCAACCCUUUACUCAUGGAAUGAGGCCGUUGGAAAGUUCAAUCAAUCUUUUUUUCAUAAGAUAGAUUUUUCCUUUUGUGGAGGAUCUGUGCCUACUCUACUUUCCUAUCUAGGACUUCGCUAUACAAAAUAUAUACUACUGUGAAGCAUAGAUUGCUGUCAACAGAAAAUUUUCUUAGUAUUUAGUUAGGUAUUUCUUUUCAAAAUAAGAAAGGGGCCCUUUAAUAAUUUGUAAAAAACAAAGGUUAAGGAUUGAUUUGGGUUGCGCUCUAUCUAUCAAAGAGUAUACAAUAAUGAUGGAUUUGUUAAAUCAAAUCCUUGGUUUAAUAACGAACGGUGUUAACUUACCAUAACAACAACUCAAUUCCUAUAGUGAAAUUCCUAUAGGAUAGAACAUACACAGGGUGUACGCAUUAUAUAUGAAUGAAAAAUAUUAAUGAACUUAAGCAUGCCCUCAAUUUUCUGUAAUGAGUUGCUAUUAAUUGAAUAUCUCUUUUUUUUAUGAGAUUUUUGCUAAAGUUUCAUUUACGCCUAAUUCACAUCGAGUAGACCUUGUUAUUGUGAGAAUUCUUAAUUCAAGAGUUGUAAGGAGGGACUUAUGUCACCACAAACAGAAACUAAAGCAAGUGUUGGAUUUAAAGCUGGUGUUAAAGAUUAUAGAUUGACUUACUACACCCCGGAGUAUGAAACCAAGGAUACUGAUAUCUUGGCAGCAUUCCGAGUAUCUCCUCAACCUGGGGUUCCGCCCGAAGAAGCAGGGGCUGCGGUAGCUGCCGAAUCUUCUACUGGUACAUGGACAACUGUUUGGACUGAUGGACUUACUAGUCUUGAUCGUUACAAAGGACGAUGCUAUCACAUCGAGCCUGUUCCUGGGGAAGACAGUCAAUGGAUCUGUUAUGUAGCUUAUCCAUUAGAUCUAUUUGAAGAGGGUUCCGUUACUAACAUGUUUACUACCAUUGUAGGUAACGUAUUUGGUCUCAAAGCCCUACGUGCUCUACGUCUGGAGGAUCUAUGAAUUCCCCCUACUUAUUCAAAAACUUUCCAAGGCCCGCCUCACGGUAUCCAAGUGGAAAGAGAUGAGUUGAACAAGUAUGGUCGUCCUUUAUUGGGAUGUACUAUUAAGCCAAAAUUGGGAUUAUCUGCAAAAAAUUACAGUAGAGCAU